AUUGAACGCUGGCGGCAGGCCUAACACAUGCAAGUCGAACGAGUGGCGGACGGGUGAGUAACGUCUGGGAAACUGCUCGAUGGAGGGGGAUAACUACUGGAACCGGUAGCUAAUACCGCAUACCAUUGGAUGUGCCCAGAUGGGAUUAGCUAUUAGGUGGGGUAAAGGCUAACCUAGGCAACGAUCCCUAGCUGGUCUGAGAUGCUGACCCGCCACACUGGAACUGAGACACGGUCCAGACUCCUACGGGAGGCAGCAGUGGGGAAUAUUGCACAAUGGGCGCAAGCCUGAUGCAGCCACGCCGCGUGAAUGAAGAAGGCCUUCGGGUUGUAAAGUACUUUCAGCGGGGAGGCGUUACCCGCAGAAGAAGCACCGGCUAACUCCGUGCCAGCAGCCGCGGUAAUUC
rnacentral:rRNA from 1 species